GAUGAACGCUGGCGGCGUGCCUAAUACAUGCAAGUCGAGCGGACGGACGAGAAGCUUGCUUCUCUGAUGUUAGCGGCGGACGGGUGUGUCACACGUGGAUACCCUCCCUAUCAGACUGGGAUCACUUCGGGAAACCGGAGCUAAUACCGGAUAAUCUUUUGAUCCGCAUGAUUCAAAAGUGAAAGACGGUCUUGCUGUCACUUCUCGAUGGAUACGCGCUGCAUUAGCUAGUUGGUAAGGUAACGGCUUACCAAGGCAACGAGGCAUAUCCGAACUGUGAGAGGGAUCGGCCACAUGAGAACGUGAACGCCGUCCAGACGCCUACGGUACGCAGCAGUAGGGAAUCUUCCGCAGAGGGCGAGAGCCUGACGGAGCAACGCCGCGUGAGUGAUGAAGAUCUUCGGAUCGUAAAACUCUGUUAUUAGGUGAAAACAGAUGUGUAAUUAACUGUGCACAUCGUGACGGUACCGAAUCAGAAAGCCACGGCUAACUACGUG
rnacentral:rRNA from 1 species